rnacentral:rRNA from 1 species
ACAUUUCUUUAAGUUUUUUUUUAAAGUAUCCCCUGCCCUAUGAAUAUUAAAUGGCUGCAGUAUUCUGACUGUGCAAAGGUAGCAUAAUAAAUAGUUUCUUAAUUGGGAUCUGGUAUGAAUGGGUUAAUGAAAGAUUUGUUUUAUUAUAUUUAAUUUUUGAGUUUAAUUUUUUAGUUAAAAAGCUAAAUUUUUUGUUUGGGACGAAAAGACCCUAUAGAACUUUAUUUAUUUAUUUCUUUUUAAAUUUUUUGGUUAAUUUUUUUAAAAGUUUUUUAUAUAUUUUACUGGGGUGGUAGUUAAAUUUUAACUUUAAUUUAUUUUUUCAUUUUUUUUUGAUUUUGUUGAUCCUUUGUUUUUGAUUAAAAGAUAAAGUUACCUUAGGGAUAACAGCGUAAUUUUAAUGGAAAGUUCAUAUUUAUAUUAAAGUUUGCGACCUCGAUGUUGAAUUAAGAUUAAAUUGAGGGGUAGGUUCUUCAAUAUUAAGUCUGUUCGACUUUUAAAUUCUUACAUGAUCUG